rnacentral:rRNA from 1 species
GACGAACGCUGGCGGCGUGCCUAAUACAUGCAAGUCGAACGCAGUGGGGACGGGUGAGUAACACGUGGGUAACCGCCCAUCAGAGGGGAUAACACUUGGAAACAGGUGCUAAACCGAUACUGCUGGAUGGACCCGAGGUGCAUUAGCUAGGUGGUGAGGUAACGGCCCACCAAGGCCACGAUGCCUAGCCGGCCUGGUAGGAGAACCGGCCACACUGUGACUGAGACACGCCCCCGACUCCUACGGGAGGCAGCAGGAGGGAAUUUUCGGCAAUGGACGAAAGCCUGACCGAUCAACGCCCCGUGAGGGAAGAAGGUUUCCGGAGCGUAAAACUCUUUAGUUAGAGAAGCGGUAUCUAACCAGAAAGCCACGGCUAACUACGUGCCAGCAGCCGCGGUAAUAC